CCCUUAGAUGUCCUGGGCUGCACGCGCGCUACACUGAUGUGUCCAGUAAGCACCUAACCUAUUCCGAGAGGAGCGGGUAACCUUAGCAAAGCACAUCGUGAUGGGGAUAGAUUAUUGCAAUUAUUAGUCUUGAACGAGGAAUUCCUAGUAAGCACAAGUCAUCAGCUUGUGUUGAUUACGUCCCUGCCCUUUGUACACACCGCCCGUCGCUCCUACCGAUUGAGUGAGCCGAUGAAACUGCCGGAUGUGGACUAUUCAUAGUCUGCAGAAGAUAUUUGAAUCGUAGCGCUUAGAGGAAGGAGAAGUCGUAACA
rnacentral:rRNA from 1 species